UCUUAAUUGUUUCUUGGCAUUACACUAUGAAUAUGGAGGACUCAAAACUAUAAAUCAGAUUGGUGAGUUUAUUUCUAUUGAGCAGGCAUUCUUCAAUUGGACAUUGUUUACCAUAUUUAACAGAAUAUAAUAACAUUAAAAAAAGUUGGAACUGCAUAUCUGAUUGAGAGCUGUAUUGUUA